UACGGGGGGGGCAAGCGUUGUUCGGAAUUACUGGGCGUAAAGGGCUCGUAGGCGGCCAACUAAGUCAGACGUGAAAUCCCUCAGCUUAACUGGGGAACUGCGUCUGAUACUGGAUGGCUUGGAUUCGGGAGAGGAAUGCGGAAUUCCAGGUGUAGCGGUGAAAUGCGUAGAUAUCUGGAGGAACACCGGUGGCGAAGGCGGCAUUCUGGACCGACAUUGACGCUGAGGAGCGAAAGCCAGGGGAGCAAACAGG
rnacentral:rRNA from 1 species